GGGGACCCGCAAGCGGUGGAUGAUGUGGAUUAAUUCGAUGCAACGCGAAAAACCUUACCUACCCUUGACAUGUACGGAAGCCUGAAGAGAUUCGGGUGUGCUCGAAAGAGAGCCGUAACACAGGUGCUGCAUGGCUGUCGUCAGCUCGUGUCGUGAGAUGUUGGGUUAAGUCCCGCAACGAGCGCAACCCUUGUCAUUAGUUGCUACGAAAGGGCACUCUAAUGAGACUGCCGGUGACAAACCGGAGGAAGGUGGGGAUGACGUCAAGUCCUCAUGGCCCUUAUGGGUAGGGCUUCACACGUCAUACAAUGGUACAUACAGAGGGCCGCCAACCCGCGAGGGGGAGCUAAUCCCAGAAAGUGUAUCGUAGUCCGGAUCGCAGUCUGCAACUCGACUGCGUGAAGUUGGAAUCGCUAGUAAUCGCGGAUCAGCAUGUCGCGGUGAAUACGUUCCCGGGUCUUGUACACACC
rnacentral:rRNA from 1 species